CAAGUCGAACGAAGUAGCAAUACUUAGUGGCAGACGGGUGAGUAACAUGUAGGUAUCUGCCCUUUGGCCUGGAAUAACACGAGGAAACUUGUGCUAAUACCGGAUAAGUCUUUACGGAGAAAGCUUUAUGCACCAUUGGAUGAGCCUGCACUUGAUUAGUUUGUUGGUGGGGUAAUGGCCUACCAAGACUGUGAUCAAUAGCUGAUUUGAGAGGAUGAUCAGCCACAUUGGGACUGAGACACGGCCCAAACUCCUACGGGAGGCAGCAGUGGGGAAUCUUGCACAAUGGAGGAAACUCUGAUGCAGCGAUGCCGCGUGAGUGAAGAAGGCCCUUGGGUUGUAAAGCUCUUUCGUCGGGGAAGAAAAUGACUGUACCCGAAUAAGAAGGUCCGGCUAACUUCGUGCCAGCAGCCGCGGUAAUACGAAGGGACCUAGCGUAGUUCGGAAUUACUGGGCUUAAAGAGUUCGUAGGUGGUUGAAAAAGUUAGUGGUGAAAUCCCAGAGCUUAACUCUGGAACUGCCAUUAAAACUUUUCAGCUAGAGUAUGAUAGAGGAAAGCAGAAUUUCUAGUGUAGAGGUGAAAUUCGUAGAUAUUAGAAAGAAUACCAAUUGCGAAGGCAGCUUUCUGGAUCAUUACUGACACUGAGGAACGAAAGCAUGGGUAGCGAAGAGGAUUAGAUACCCUCGUAGUCCAUGCCGUAAACGAUGUGUGUUAGACGUUGGAAAUUUAUUUUCAGUGUCGCAGGGAAACCGAUAAACACACCGCCUGGGGAGUACGACCGCAAGGUUAAAACUCAAAUGAAUUGACGGGGACCCGCACAAGUAGUGGAGCAUGUGGUUUAAUUCGAAGAUACGCGCAGAACCUUACCAACACUUGACAUGUUCGUCGCGACUCUAAGAGAUUAGAGUUUUCGGUUCGGCCGGACGAAACACAGUGCUGCAUGGCUGUCGUCAGCUCGUGUCGUGAGAUGUUGGGUUAAGUCCCGCAACGAGCGCAACCCUCACUUUUAGUUGCCAUCAUUAAGUUGGGCACUCUGAAAGAACUGCCAGUGAUAAGCUGGAGGAAGGUGGGGAUGACGUCAAGUCCUCAUGGCCCUUACGUGUUGGGCUACACACGUGCUACAAUGGUAUCUACAACAGGAAGCAAGACUGCGAAGUUAAGCAAAUCCCUAAAAGAUACCUCAGUUCGGAUUGCACUCUGCAACUCGAGUGCAUGAAGCUGGAAUUACUAGUAAUCGUGGAUCAGCGUGCCACGGUGAAUGCGUUCCCGGGUCUUGUACACACCGCCCGUCACACCAUGGGAGUUGGUUCUACCUUAAGGCAAGGUUUCAAACCCUUGACCACGGUAUAGUCAGCGACUGGGGUGAAGUCGUAACAAGGUAGCCGUAGGGGAACCUGCGGCUG
rnacentral:rRNA from 1 species